UACGGAAGGUAGCAGUGGGGAAUAUUGCACAAUGGGCGAAAGCCUGAUGCAGCUAUGCCGCGUGUAUGAAGAAGGCCUUAGGGUUGUAAAGUACUUUCAUCGGGGAGGAAAAACAAAACUAAUAAUUUUAUUUCUUGACGUUACCCGAAAAAGAAGCACCGGCUAACUCCGUGCCAGCAGCCGCGGUAAUACGGAGGGUGCUAGCGUUAAUCAGAAUUACUGGGCGUAAAGAGCACGUAGGUGGUUUUUUUAAGUCAGAUGUGAAAUCCCUGGGCUUAACCUAGGAACUGCAUUUUGAAACUGAAAUACUAGAGUAUCGUAGAGGGAGGUAGAAUUCUAGGUGUAGCGGUGAAAUGCGUAGAUAUCUGGAGGAAUACCUGUGGCGAAAGCGGCCUCCUAAACGAAUACUGACACUGAGGUGCGAAAGCGUGGGGAGCAAACAGGGAUUAGAUACC
rnacentral:rRNA from 1 species